CUUUGACUGUGUAUGGAGGCCACCAUGAUAUGCCCUCAUGGUACCACUCUGCUGCCACCGGGCUUGUUGUUCCCUCAUCCACAAAUUCAACCAUUCGCGAUACUGACUGGCUGUUUGGAUGGACCUGGGAAGUGGACCACAUGCAUGAACUUUGUAUAAUCCCAUUCUUUUCCUAUUUCGAUUCAGUUUUUUGGGCCUCUCUGACAGUCUUCUAAUGACCUGACUGAGUGGGAAGCCAGGUUUUCUAAUUAGCUUUUUAAUCUGGUGAAGGAAAGAUUCAAAUUUAAAUGCACUGAAAUUAUCGAGUGCACCAUGUAUUUUUACAUCUUGUGCCAAGUGAACAAGGUUGUGUACAUUGUAAGACAUGAACUUUUCCCCAUAGAGCUCUUGAAAGUGUUUCACAAAUAAAACCAAAAUGUCAUUAGCAUACUCAAGAUGGUCUCGGAGUAGCUGUUUGCUGGAUAAAAUGAACACUCCCACAAAAAGUAGAAGAAAGUUUUGGUAUGCUGUUGUAAUGAGUGUGCUAUUUAAAAGAACAGGCCCACUGUACAACAAAAACUGCCGGAACUCAGUAGCUUUCCACCUGUCUAACUCUCUUACAGACCUUGGUUGUCGCGAGAAUUCCAAGGGAACAUUUUUACGGAUUUGCUGAAGUCUGCUUGAAAGGUUGUCAACAGUAGAGGCAGGCAGUCUGCAGGACAAAGGACCCCGUAGCCACAACAAAAGGAGCCUGCACAUAACACCAAGGCACACAAGGUGCAUAUAGUCUAAUGGAAAGCCUGUUACCAUUUUCAGUGAUGUUCUUUGCAGUGGUGUGGGACCAUGAUGAUGUUCUUCAUCUAUUUGAGCCCUGAAUGACUCAUCUGUUCUCAGUAAAGCAUCAAUUUCAGGAAAAACAACUCGAUUCUCAAUAUACUUCCCCUCUUGGGUACAUUUCCCACAGCCACUAUAGCCAGAGUGACCGUUUAUGUUUUUCACAAAGGCACAUGCCGGAGCAUCACAAACUACUGUGCACAGCCUUAAGUAUAGGGAAAUCUCCUUUGUAAUUAAAUCCUUUUUCCAGAUUAGAAAUGUCUGACACAAAAUCUUCUAGGAAGGCAUCCAGGGAUCCUGGUUUUUGGUUGCCACAAAACAAACCUAUUAUGACUGGGUCAUGUUUUGGAAGAUUUUCAAUAAUUCCUAGAAUUGGCCAAAACUGUGUGGUGGAACUCUUGAAUAAAGGUAAACCAUCAAUAUUGA